rnacentral:rRNA from 1 species
GAUGAACGCUGGCGGCGUGCCUAAUACAUGCAAGUCGAGCGAACAGACGAGGAGCUUGCUCCUCUGACGUUAGCGGCGGACGGGUGAGUAACACGUGGAUAACCUACCUAUAAGACUGGGAUAACUUCGGGAAACCGGAGCUAAUACCGGAUAAUAUAUUGAACCGCAUGGUUCAAUAGUGAAAGACGGUUUUGCUGUCACUUAUAGAUGGAUCCGCGCCGCAUUAGCUAGUUGGUAAGGUAACGGCUUACCAAGGCAACGAUGCGUAGCCGACCUGAGAGGGUGAUCGGCCACACUGGAACUGAGACACGGUCCAGACUCCUACGGGAGGCAGCAGUAGGGAAUCUUCCGCAAUGGGCGAAAGCCUGACGGAGCAACGCCGCGUGAGUGAUGAAGGUCUUCGGAUCGUAAAACUCUGUUAUUAGGGAAGAACAAAUGUGUAAGUAACUAUGCACGUCUUGACGGUACCUAAUCAGAAAGCCACGGCUAACUAUGUG